rnacentral:rRNA from 1 species
GAUGAACGCUGGCGGCGUGCCUAAUACAUGCAAGUCGAGCGAACAGACGAGGAGCUUGCUCCUCUGACGUUAGCGGCGGACGGGUGAGUAACACGUGGAUAACCUACCUAUAAGACUGGGAUAACUUCGGGAAACCGGAGCUAAUACCGGAUAAUAUAUUGAACCGCAUGGUUCAAUAGUGAAAGACGGUUUUGCUGUCACUUAUAGAUGGAUCCGCGCCGCAUUAGCUAGUUGGUAAGGUAACGGCUUACCAAGGCAACGAUGCGUAGCCGACCUGAGAGGGGGGUCGGCCACACGGGAACUGAGACACGGUCCAGACUCCUACGGGAGGGAGCAGUAGGGAAUCGUACGCAAUAGGCGAAAGCCUGACGGAGCAACGCCGCGUGAGUGAUGAAGGUCUUCGGAUCGUAAAACUCUGUUAUUAGGGAAGAACAAAUGUGUAAGUAACUAUGCACGUCUUGACGGUACCUAAUCAGAAAGCCACGGCUAACUACGUG